UGCCCAGCAACUCCUAUCCCUACCUCCUCGCGGUACUGGCCGGGGUACGAGUAACCUUAGGGAAGAUCGGGUAACAAACCCCCGGUGGGAACUUUGGUCGUAUGCUGACAGGGAAGG
rfam:Aedes aegypti strain Liverpool supercont1.31 genomic scaffold, whole genome shotgun sequence.